rnacentral:rRNA from 1 species
CCUACGGGGGGCAGCAGUGAGGAAUAUUGGUCAAUGGUCGAGAGGCUGAACCAGCCAAGUCGCGUGAGGGAAGACGGCCCUACGGGUUGUAAACCUCUUUUGUCGGGGAGCAAAGCGAGUCACGUGUGACUCAUUGAGAGUACCCGAAGAAAAAGCAUCGGCUAACUCCGUGCCAGCAGCCGCGGUAAUACGGAGGAUGCGAGCGUUAUCCGGAUUUAUUGGGUUUAAAGGGUGCGUAGGCGGUUUGAUAAGUUAGAGGUGAAAUGUCGGGGCUCAACCCCGAAACUGCCGCUAAUACUGUUGGACUAGAGAAUAGUUGCGGUAGGCGGAAUGUAUGGUGUAGCGGUGAAAUGCUUAGAGAUCAUACAGAACACCGAUUGCGAAGGCAGCUUACCAAACUAUAUCUGACGUUGAGGCACGAAAGCGUGGGUAGCAAACAGGAUUAGAUACCCGAGUAGUC